rnacentral:piRNA from 1 species
UAGCCUUACAAUUUCUUUGGAAGUGACCA